rnacentral:lncRNA from 1 species
AUGCUUUCUCUCUCAGGGCAGACACAGGAGUCAGAGCAGCUGCACAACUCCAGCCUUUUCCAGCCUUGCACAACUGUGCCUGUGCCUUUCUUUUUUUUAAAAAAAAAGGGCCAAGCCUGUACUAUUUUAAAGGCUCAGCCAUAUUAUUGUUCCCUUCACAACCUUUACACAAUACUGUGUACAACCCAUAAUAAACAGAUUUGCUACCAUGCUUUCUGUGGGCUAGGCACAUGUAUCAAAACUAAAACAACUGUUUCAUUAACAGCAACCUAUAUAUUCCAGCAAGGUCUGUAAGAGAUGACAGACUAAAGUUAAGCAUCUUAAAAGUGCAGUUUUGAAAAAUGAAAUUCAUAGACCUCAGGAGGAGCUGCAGGGUUUCUGUUCAUCAGUAAAAUGGGUCUAAAAAUUUAGGAAUAUUUCAGAUGGCUUGUGGGUCUAUAAAUAUGAUCACACAUUUAAGAAAAAAAAAAAGGAAGAAUUUUUACUCACAAGAAUGAUGCAUUAUGGUGACCAGGAAAGCAGAGUAGGGUAGGCUUCUGGCUUCUUUAUGAAAUUCCUUUCACUUUGCUAAAGCUGCUGCUCAGAGGAAAUAGGAGUAGCUUUGGUAACUGUUAUCCCUGUGGAUGGCUGACAUAAUUUGGGACUGGCAAGGACAUUGAUUUUCUAUCAAAACCUUAACAGGUCACACAUACAAAACAGAUACACCAAUUGAUUGUUCAUCUAAAGCAGAACUCAUUUCACACAAUGCCACUGCAGCCAAUAUGAUCUGGAGAGCAACUAAGAAAACCUCAGUAGUGGACAUGUACUACUGCAGAGCACCUUACAACUUAGCCAAACUGGCAGGUAUUAUUUAUACCAUCAGUGCACCACAGUUUAGUUCACUGGCCAUUUCAGCUUAGAAUCAGCCACAACUUAGGCAAGUCUGAGAACAGCUAAGCUGUUUCCUUCUCCCUGUUAAGUGUACUAAUAUACAUAUGAAAUUUGACAUGGGAUUUCUUUUUGUGCAGUCUGGAGAUUAUUUCCCAUUUUAUGGUGAUAAGAGCACAGCCUAGAAAGAGAUGUGUUUAACUCACUUUUCUCUAAUGUCAGAUUAUGGCUGAUAAUGCCUGGUGUCCUCAUCCAAUGAUAUGCCAUGCAAUAACCAGCUGCUAUUGUCAAGUCAACUCUUUUGUACCUCCUUAACACUAUGUAAAACCCUGAAAGAGAUGAUGAAAAGUAUGUGUAUAUAUGUAUAUAAACCCUGACAAGAAUACCUGUUCCUGAGAAAUGGUUCCUCCCUACCUCACUAACUGUA